GUGCUUGCUUCAGCAGUACAUAUACUAACAUUGAAAUGAUGCAGAGGUUAGCAUGGCCCCUGUGCAAGGAUGAUAUGCAAAUUCAUGAAGAGUUCCAUAUUUUU